GAUGAACGCUGGCGGCGUGCCUAAUACAUGCAAGUCGAGCUAACAGAUGAGGAGCUUGCUCCUCUGACGUUAGCGGCGGACGGGUGAGUAACACGUGGAUAACCUACCUAUAAGACUGGGAUAACUUCGGGAAACCGGAGCUAAUACCGGAUAAUAUAUUGAACCGCAUGGUUCAAUAGUGAAAGACGGUUUUGCUGUCACUUAUAGAUGGAUCCGCGCCGCAUUAGCUAGUUGGUAAGGUAACGGCUUACCAAGGCAACGAUGCGUAGCCGACCUGAGAGGGUGAUCAGCCACACUGGAACUGAGACACGGUCCAGACUCCUACGGGAGGCAGCAGUAGGGAAUCUUCCGCAAUGGGCGAAAGCCUGACGGAGCAACGCCGCGUGAGUGAUGAAGGUCUUCGGAUCGUAAAACUCUGUUAUUAGGGAAGAACAAAUGUGUAAGUAACUAUGCACGUCUUGACGGUACCUAAUCAGAAAGCCACGGCUAACUACGUG
rnacentral:rRNA from 1 species